GGUUAUAGCUUAGCGGUAGAGCGCUUGCCUCGCACAUGCAAGGUCCUGGGUUUGAUCCUCAGCACCA
rnacentral:tRNA from 1 species